AAUGACUUUGUAAUUUAUAUGUCUGAAUUUCGUUAGACUCUGAUUGUAUUAGUAUAAGGUGAGGUAGGUGAUACUGCCCUAAUUCCAUUUUGUAAUAUAGCUCCACUGGAGUUUGACUCUUGGGGUGACGGUGUUUUCUGUCCCUCCAGCUACAGAUCAAAGUGAACGGACAGAGAGGAGGACUGGGAAUUUGUAUUGCAGGAGGGAAAGGCUCCUUGCCGUACAAAGAGAAUGAUGAGGGUAUUUUCAUCUCCAGAGUGUCUAAAGGCGGACCGGCGGAGAAGGCCGGGGUUCAUGUUGGGGACAGAGUGUUGGAGGUCAAUGGCCAAGACAUGCAGGAGGUCAGCCACCAUGAGGCUGUCGGCAUCCUGAGGAAUGCUGGGAGCUGCAUAAAAAUGAAAGUGCUGCGGGAGAGAUGCGUGCCCGUGGAGCCGUGGCUGCAUGAGAGGUCUGAUACCAUGGAGACAGCAGACCCCCAGGUCAGCCAAGGGUGGGAUGUUACCAUGAGCAAUAACAGAUCGAGUGGCCCACAGUCCUCCACUGAUCCCAUGCUGGACUGCAGCCCAAUAACUAACAGGAUGGAAGCUACCGUCUGCAAUGGAAAUGGACUGAAUGAUCCAGUGCAGGACUUACGGCUGACAAAAGACAUGGAGACCUUCAAAAACAAUGCCCUACAGGUUGUGAAAAAUACUAUGACGAUACCUCGGAUUAUUCUGACUCACCCCUCUACCUCAGAUGAGGACGUGGAGCCCCUGACGCAGGGCACAGAUGAUGGAGAUUUCCAUUCUGACUUCAGCGACUCGGACAGUCACAUUUACUCUGACUGCUUGAACAGUGCUUUCUAUCCUCUGUGAAAGAUAGAGAAGCACACAGGCUCCAGAUGUGCCUGUGUCCUUCGGUUAAGUGAAAUUGUCCUAGCUGUGGUCCACAUUCGCUGGAGCAGAAAACGAGUGACGCGGGAUCGAUACUUCAGGCA
rnacentral:lncRNA from 1 species